rfam:Picea glauca, whole genome shotgun sequence.
UCAUAUGUACAUGCCUACAAUUCUAAUGCACCAGAUCCCAUUAGAAAUCUGCAGUUAAACACACUUGGGAUAGAGUAGUGUUGGGAUGGGUGACCUCCUAGGAAGUUGUAAUGUUUUACAUGCC